AGCUUAGUGGCGAACGGGUGAGUAACACGUGAAGAACCUGCCCUUCAGUGGGGGACAACAGUUGGAAACGACUACUAAUACCGCAUAAGACCACAGUACCGCAUGGUACAGUGAUCGAAGGAUUUAUUCGCUGAAGGAUGGCUUCGCGUCCGAUUAGGUAGUUGGUGAGGUAACGGCCCACCAAGCCUACGAUCGGUAGCCGGACUGAGAGGUUGAUCGGCCACAUUGGGACUGAGACACGGCCCAGACUCCUACGGGAGGCAGCAGUGGGGAAUAUUGCACAAUGGAGGAAACUCUGAUGCAGCGACGCCGCGUGAGGGAAGAAGGUCUUCGGAUUGUAAACCUCUGUCUUCAGGGACGAUAAUGACGGUACCUGAGGAGGAAGCACCGGCUAACUACGUGCCAGCAGCCGCGGUAAAACGUAGGGUGCAAGCGUUGUCCGGAAUUACUGGGUGUAAAGGGAGCGCAGGCGGGAAGGUAAGUUGGAUGUUUAAUCUACGGGCUCAACCCGUAUCAGCAUUCAAAACUAUUUUUCUUGAGUAGUGCAGAGGUAGGCGGAAUUCCCGGUGUAGCGGUGGAAUGCGUAGAUAUCGGGAGGAACACCAGUGGCGAAGGCGGCCUACUGGGCACUAACUGACGCUGAGGCUCGAAAGCAUGGGUAGCAAACAGGAUUAGAUACCCUGGUAGUCCAUGCCGUAAACGAUGAUUACUAGGUGUGGGAGGAUUGACCCCUUCCGUGCCGCAGUUAACACAAUAAGUAAUCCACCUGGGGAGUACGACCGCAAGGUUGAA
rnacentral:rRNA from 1 species